ensembl:misc_RNA Metazoa_SRP Metazoan signal recognition particle RNA
GCCGGGCAUGGUGGCUCAUGCCUGUAAUCCCAGCACUUUGGGAGGCCAAGGCGGGUGGAUCACCUGAGGUCAGGAGUUCGAGACCAGCCUGACCAACAUGGUGAAACCCCGUCUCUA